GUGCCAGCCGCCGCAGUAAUACGGAGGGUGCAAGCGUUGUCCGGAAUCACUGGGCGUAAAGGGUGCGCAGGCGGGGCAGCAAGUCGGAGGUGAAAGCCCGUGGCUCAACCACGGAAGUGCCUUCGAAACUGUUGCUCUUGAGUCCCGGAGAGGUUGCCGGAAUUCGUGGUGUAGCGGUGAAAUGCGUAGAUAUCACGAGGAACACCAGAGGCGAAAGCGGGCAACUGGACGGGUACUGACGCUCAGGCACGAGAGCGCGGGGAGCAAGCAGGAUGAGAAACCCCGGUAGGCC
rnacentral:rRNA from 1 species